GGCUUCUCCUUGCCCACCAUAAAUCGAAACCCUAAUCCUCCGCAUCCUCCUUUUAGGAGUUACCAUUUGAAAGACGAGCAAUGAAUCUCUUGACUGCGAUGUGGACGGCGGCGGUCGUCGGCGCUGUCGCGGUCUACUGGUUCGUGUGGGUGAUGAGCUCGGCGGAAGUGAAAGGCAAGCGGGCAGUGAACCUUAAGAUGGGAUCAACCAUGCGGGAUAAGGUGCAGGAGUACUGGUCCUUCUUUUUCCGCUCCAAGGAGGGCCUAGCACCAUUACUAUAUUAGUGAAGUGAGAGCUAGAUCACCUCGUUUCCCCGAUCUGAUCGCCAUCCGAACUCCUAGGGUUCGACGCCCGGCGACUCCUUUUUCCGGCGGCCUCUCCGGCCCUUCCUCUCCCCCUGCAUAUCUUCCAUUCUUGAUGCAGGACAAGGCGGCCGCGGAGGACGACGAGAAGGAGACUUUUUCGAAGAAGUCGUGCCACUGCGAACCCGAGAUGCCCCUUACUGAUUCUGAGGAAGACUCUUUCCUCUUUCCCGUGAAGGAGAUCGUCCAGUACCCUCUUCCGGGAUACGUCGCUCCCUCUUCCAUCAGCUUCAGCCCCGAUGGGCGCUUGAUCUCCUAUCUCUUCAGCCCCAAUGGUAUCCUCCACCGUAAAGUCUUCGCCUUUGACGUUGCCUCACGAUGGCAGGAGCUUGUGAUUUGCCCACCUGAUGGAGGCGGCCUCGAUGAGAGUAAUCUCUCGGCUGAAGAGAAGCUGAGGCGAGAGAGGUCAAGGGAGAGGGGAUUGGGAGUCACGAGGUACGAGUGGAAAUCGAGGUCGACGUCCUCUUCUUGCUCCGCUCCAGGGAAGCCCACUAUCAUGGUGCCAUUGCCAAAUGGGGUAUAUUUCUAGGAAAUAUCAGGCUUAGAGCCAGAGCUCAAGCUUACAUGUUGUGCUAGCUCGCCAAUUAUUGACCCGCAUCUGUCACCAGAUGGAAGCAUGCUUGCAUAUGUCAGGGAUGAUGAACUCCAUGUUUUAAACCCGUCUGGUGGGGAGCCUAAACAAUUAACUUUUGGAGCAAUUGCAAAUAGAAAGGUGGGAUUCGUUUCUUGUUUAAUGUGUUGCAGAUUGAUUAUAGUUUUUGUAACUUGGAAAUUCUUUGUCAUGUGCUAGUGGUAUGUAUCCCUUACUAUCGUCUUUUUUGUUCUGAUAACUUCCAAUACUUGGGAUUGUCUUCUAACUUGACAUAACUGUUGGGACGAGUUACCGUCUCGUAAGCUAAAUAAUCGGUGGUAAAGGUUACUUGGAGAAUAUUAUAAUUUUAUGUUGAGUCUUCAAGUUCUCUCCUGUUUAUUAUGUAGCUUGGUUGUCUCAUCAUAAAAUGUAGCAAGUCACUGGAACCUGUUGGUAUACUCAUGUAUACCACAGCGCCGCCCCAAGCUGUUUGGGGAGUAUCAGAGCAGCAACACAAUAAGAAGGUUGAGGCGACCAUAAAGGAGGUAUGUGAACACAUUGCACUCAGAUGUGCUGGCUAGCUGUUGGCAAUGAAAUCUAAGCUAUUUAAAUCUAUGUUUUAGAUUGUUUUUCAUACUAGCAUGUUGUAUCACUCUUUGCUUAUUCCUUUGGUGUAGUAUCAACUUGAAAUAUGAGAAUAAUCUUUAAGCUCAAUCACCAUUCAAGAUUUAGCAGCAUUUUGAAGAAGAUGGUGUUUCAACAUUGCUCUAAAAGGUGAUAUUAGUAAUUCUUAAUUUAAUAUUCUCCUCUAUUGUAAUAUUAUUUUAAUGGUGAUUGUUUGAGCCUUUGGCUAGGUGUUGGGAUGUGGGUCAACCGCCUGUUAUCUGGAACCAUCUUUUAGUACCUUAUGUUUCGACAUGUUGUUUCUAUCCGGCAUAAUGUUAGUACCAAAUAAAUAUUUAUGUUAUGCUUGUUUAUACAAGACGUGCAUGCGAGUUCAACUUGCUUUAUGCUUUAAGCUUGAAAGCCUAUCAGAAAUUUUUUUUCUAUUAUGAUGUUACUUAUAAGCAAUUCAUGUUUACAAAGAUUUCAUGAUGAAGAUUACUUAAAUGAUUAUUUGUAUUAUAUGCAGUACUGGAUAAACUUGAAUUGGUUUGGACCUUUUGAUGUGAUUAACAAUUCAAUUUUAAUUAUUGUUCUUAUUUUCCUAUGUUUGUAAGAAUUCUAUUGUAAUGCUUAUUCCUAUUUUUCUGCAUUUGGAUCCUCUGUAUGAGUAUGUUUUCCUUCAUAAAUCAGUAGUCUUAACUCUUAUCAGUUCAUUUCUAUUAAUCUCUUGUUAAUUCUUUGGUAUUCUUUCAUAUUAUCCAUUUUCUGAGAAGACAAUAAACACUACAUGAGAGCCACCUAUUAUCAACUGAAUUUUAAUUUAACCUCCGGUUACUACACUUAAUAUUAUAAACCAAUCUAUUCCUGUUGCAGAUUUAUAAUUUUAACCUCCGGUUAAGGAACGAUAGAGGCCACUUAUCACCAUAGUUAAUUUUUAGCAAAAAGUUGUUAAAAAAAAAAACUACUUAAAAUGUAUGAUCAUUUAACAUAAUUUUCUCGUCAAGAAUCAGAAACUCUGUGCUUGAUUAGAAUUGCAAUGCUAGAGCUUUUCUUAGUAAUUUUUAUUAUGCAAACUUCAAUUACUCAUGCUUUUGCAGAUCUCGUCAAAAUCUCUCUAGCACAUCAUCGUUUUACAAUUUUUUUUGUUAUCUUUGUUGGAUGAUAUUGAUAUUAUUUUGACUUAGCCAUCCUCCUCUGAUUUAUUUGUUCUGAUUUUGUCACGUUUUAAUUUAAUCUCUUGUGCUAACCAAGUCAAUGUAGACUUUCUCAUUGCAGAGCAAAUGUAAAGAGAAUAAGGACUCGUUCAAGAAGGUGAGCCGCAAAGUGAGACGAUCUCAAGAACUGCUAAUUAACGACUAAUCUUCACUUUCAAGAAUUGUGUUACUCGCAAGAUGAUCAUAAAACUCUGUUUUAAAAUGCAAGGUGAGUUGCACAAGGCCUUGUCACCGAAUGCACAAGUAUUUCAUUCAAAAGUAAAACUAGUAGACGUGGAUGAAGAUUAGCACCUUUUUUAGUCAGCAUUCCAUGAUUAUAAUGUCUUAUUGUUCUGCCUAAAUGUGAUCAUGGAAUCUAGAUCACUUUCUUUCAAAUAAGAAAGGAAGUCAACUGAGUAGACUUUGCUGUAGGACACUGCCAUCCAAUGACUUCACCAUAAAGCAUGUGAAGAGUUUAGUUCCCCCAAAUAAAAUGAUUUGUCCUAUAAACAAUAGAAUUGUCCUCCUUAUCUCUGGCUCAAAUAUUAAAAAGAUGAUUACAGUGAUUCCAUAUACUUUCACAAUUUGUCUCUAACUUAUAUAAAAAGGGGUAAAUCAUGAGAUUAUUUUCUAGACACCUAUCAUGAAUUGAUCCUUAUUUCAUUAUAAUAAAUAUAUCAUUCUCUAACCAAUUGAGUAUGUCUAUGAGGAUUUCACAUCACGUUAUAGCAAUUAUAUAUUGACAUUGUAGUAGUUACAAAAUUGUAAUUGUUAUCAUUAUUAUAAUUUUAUAACGACUAUAAUAACUAUUAAAAAUUAAUGUUAUAGUAAUUAUGAUUAUCAAAUUAUAACUACUAUAAUAUUUAUAGAUAUUUUAUAUUAAUACGUGGCAUUUUUUUAAAGGGGAAUGGAUGGAAUGGGAUGUUUUUUGUUUUUUGUGGAUGAUUUGUAUAGUCUUUCCAACCAAUCUGUGUUGGUCCAGUUUAGCGCCUGUUUAGAAAUAAGGAAUAGAUUAUAAAAAGAUAAAGACUACAUGAGAGCUGGUAUAGUGGUUCAAGUGAUUCAGACCUUUGAGAUACUUUGAUUCCUUAACUCCUGCAAAAGUUGAACAAACGGUGGACAGGAGAGAAGUCCUUGCAUUGUUGCAUUUAAAAAACAUAUAUUUCCAGAAUUUACUAGUCCACGGGGCAAUAAGCAUUCGACUACUUGUUCUUUCUUACUAGUAAUUUCCAGAGUUUCCACUGUGGGAGUUGGAGCUGCCCUUGAAUCAGAAAGCACACUAUGGUUUUUUGACGCUUGGAACCCACCUUUUGAGCUUGCUAGAGUAGUUUCUCUUGUAAUUCCAUGAUCAGAUUCUCGAAAAGAAGCUAAAUCAGAGUUAUAGUGCCUAUUUUCAGCAACUCCUAUAGAGUGGGAGGAACAUCUACUGGUGCAUCCAUUUGAUUGGGUUCUUGUAUUCACAGGUUUGCUAUCAUACUUAGCUGCUGAUGAAGUAGUGCAUGCUCGGCCGUUUGCAAUUAAAUUUGAAAUUUGAACACCUUUUGAAUUUACAGAUAAAUUGACUUUUGUAGUUUCACUAGCAGAGCCUUUGUAUAAAUCAGUUGCCUUAUAUCAGAUUAUUUCAAAUGUGCUGAUCAAAGAAGCUGAGCAAACAAGUAAAAAUUACCAGUAAAAGGUAAGAGAACUGGAGAAUCAAUUAAAUGGUGAGAGGACAAC